rnacentral:rRNA from 1 species
UACGAAGGGAGCUAGCGUUGUUCGGAAUCACUGGGCGUAAAGCGCACGUAGGCGGACUUGUCAGUCAGGGGUGAAAUCCCGGGGCUCAACCUCGGAACUGCCUCUGAUACAGCAAGUCUUGAGUCCGGAAGAGGUGGGUGGAAUUCCUAGUGUAGAGGUGAAAUUCGUAGAUAUUAGGAGGAACACCAAUGGCGAAGGCAGCUCGCUGGGACGGUACUGACGCUGAGGCGCGAAAGCGUGGGGAGCAAACAGG